UACGUAGGGUGCAAGCGUUAAUCGGAAUUACUGGGCGUAAAGCGUGCGCAGGCGGUUUUGUAAGUCUGACGUGAAAUCCCCGGGCUCAACCUGGGAAUUGCGUUGGAGACUGCAAGGCUAGAGUUUGGCAGAGGGGGGUAGAAUUCCACGUGUAGCAGUGAAAUGCGUAGAUAUGUGGAGGAACACCGAUGAACGAAGGCAGCCCCCUGGGUCAAGACUGACGCUCAUGCACGAAAGCGUGG
rnacentral:rRNA from 1 species